ACAUCACAAACCUAUCCCCUGGUAGAGCAGAGCAAAGGGACUUGGGAGACAAAGGCGUCAAGAACUAAGCCAAACGGAGGCCGGCCUGGCCCUUGGAAACCUGGUGAGAUCGGGAGUCUGUGGGCCAGAUCAAUUACUUGACCAUGGUCACGGAGCUGGUCUACAGGCCCAGUAUUUAAAUCCUGGUGUCUCUCAGUUUAGAGGCCAGUGUCCUUGCCCUGCGCUUUCACAGUGCAGGUCCUUAGACUUCUGCCAGAGAGCUCUGCUAGUUUGUUCAGGCUCUGGUUUAAUCCUCAGCCCAAUCCUUCAUCCAGGGAUAAAUGAAAAGGAUCCAAUUUCUUAAAAUGUCUACAAGAAACUCCUCAGUCUUUACCAAUAAAUCCUUCCUUUAUUAAAUAGAGAUUAUCUUACAUUUCAUUUAAAAAAGGGAGUUAGAAGUGAGCCAGCAGGAGAUCUGUGUCCGUGACAGCCCCGGAUCACAAGGGCCAGGUGGGGAGAGGGGGGUCCCUUGGGAGGGAAAAGAUCCUUCAAAGGACCCCUGGGCUAUAGUUGCUCCCUCCAGACUCUCCCAAGGUGCCCCCACCACCACCCAGACCCAUCUCCUGAAGGGGAGGGUAGUAUCCCACCCAUGGACUGGCGCCAGGGGCAAGUGCACCGGCAUAGCCCUCCUCACCCUUCCACAGCUGAGGCGGCUGCCAUUCUGCCAGAGACGAGCGUCCUCAGUCCCCAGGUCCUGGGGUAAGGCACCUUGGAGGCAGGAAACGGGCCUCUUUUCCACCAUCGGUCUCCUCCCUGGUUGGCAGGGCCCCCUGGACGGACUGGGACAGGUGGGAAGUCUCGGAGCUCAAGCUGUGAGGGCCCAACUGCCUCUGGGGUGGUGGGGGCAGGGAAUUACAGGAAUAGGAGAUGGUACUGACGCUGGGAGAUUAUCCGGAAAACCCAUUUAAUCGUUGCAACAGGUGGCUACCCGCCGCCCAGCUGGAGGUGGGGGGGUUGGAAGCUAGACGGCCCAAGAUGCCAAUGGAAAGGGGGGCAGGGCUUGAAGCUAGGGAUGCCAGGAUGCUAAUGGAAAGGGAGGCAGGGUUUGAAGCUAGGGGGUUCCAAGGUACCAAUGGAAAAGGGAACGGUUUGAAGCUAGAAGUCCCAGGAUGUCAAUAAAAGGGGGCAAGAUUUGAAGACAGGGGUUUCCAAGGUGCCGAUGGAAAGGGGGGACAAAGUUUGAAUCUAGGGGUCCCAGGGUGCUAAUGGAAAGGGGGAGGAGGAUUUGAAGCUUGCCAGCCCAGGGUGCCAAUCCUAUUGCCCACUUCAUGGGUGUGGGCCCAGCUGCAGGAGGGUCCCUGAAGCAUUCAUUUACCAAGGGGGCCUUUUUGGGGAGGCUCAUGAACAGCUUGGGCUCUUGUUGGGGGGGGGCCGUUCCACACUCCUACCUUUCCUCCUCCUCCCCUCCCCCCCCAGCCCUUUCACUAGGCUGUCCCCAAAGCCUUAAGGCUGAUCUCCAGCCAGUCCCUGCUGGGUGCUGAGCCCAUUAAAUUCCUCAGGGGAAGAGAGUGUCCUAUUUAAAGGUAAUAGACUGGAGCGGGCUGACGGGAAAGAUCUCCUUCUCUUGCCCUCCCCCCCCCCCCCCCCCCCCCCCCCCCCGCACCCUUGGCGGGCACUGCCCCGCUGUGUCUAAUCCCCAGCCUGGAACGAUUGUCAUUCGGGAAGCGACAGAGACGAGGCUGGCGUUCCAGCUUAGGACACGACAGCCAGGGGAGAGCAGAGCUUUCUGGGGGAUGGAGGGAUGGCAUCUUCCUGGCCGAGACCCGGGCUGCCCCUAAAGCCCUAGGGAGAGUGACGGGGAUGUCCCCGGGGCCAGCAACACACAAAUGGGGAGAGGGGACACGAGACCCCCGCCUCGUCUUAGAGAAGCCCCCCAUCAUUGGUGGUGAGGGAAGGGGGCGACCCAAGUGUCCCGCCCACCAGGGGGCACGUGCUCUGCCCAGUGUUUCUGCACGUAGUCCUUGCCAGACCUGAGCCCCGGGAGCAGCUCAAGGCACCCAAGGGGAUGAUGGGGAGGGAGGGGGACAUGAGUGCCAAACUUGAACCUGGGGGGAGGACCCCCGUCUUUCCUCCCCCACCCCGGGCUGAGCUUUCCACCUGCUGGUCAAAGUCCACAGAGGUUUCCCCAAGGGACAAGUAGUUUCUUGGAGUUAACAGAGCCAGGCAGGCCCCAGGAAUGGCUUCCCUGACUGGAAGGGCAAGGUCACACCACGAGGGGGCGCUGCUUACAUUGGUCAGUGGCAGAGACCGGCCAUUGCCCACAGUCGUUACUGGGGGGGAGGGGAAGGGGAGGGCUGGGGGCCUGGGCUCGGGGAGCAGGGGUGGCCAUGGGCAACUAACAGGGGCUUUGAUGUCCUGUUUAGGAGAGGGAGGAGGGGGAGAGCAGGGCAACAGGCCCCGGCUACUUUCCUGAGCUCAGACCCUCUGUGUCCUUUUCCUUUGGUGAGAUAAAGUGCCAGUGUCUGGGGAAGGGGCUGGAGACCCCGCUCCGGACACCCAGAGACCCCGACCCCACCCCCACCCCCACCUCCCACGGGCCACAGAAGCCUGCAGGCUUUGUUCUUGUUGAUCAGAUUUUUUUUUUUCUUCUUUUGGAAAAUUCACUGCAUCGGUCGGUGGAAGCGAAAGAGGCCCGGAAACGGCUCCUUGUGGAGCCCGGGCCUCGGAGCCCAAGAUCCAGCCUGAAGGAUCAGCUCCGCUCUGCGCCCCUCCUCCCUGCAGGGUUUUCUCCAGGGUCUCCUUGCUGGUGGCAGCCCUCUGGGGUGAACCCUUCAGAGGCCGGAGACCCACCCAUCAUGUCCUUCUGCCUCAAUCAGAGCAGCCCCCGGCCCGGUGGCCUCUCCCCUAACAACGUCCAUCUGCGUCCCUGGAGCCGCGACCUCGGCUCUAGACCUCGUUCGGGUAGAAGCCCAGCUUGGCCAAGGACAUCUCCUUCCGAAGCCUCAUGAUCUCCCAGAAGAUCAAUUCCAC
rnacentral:lncRNA from 1 species